rnacentral:lncRNA from 1 species
CAAAGACAGUGUUCAAUGGUUGGCAACCCUCCUCCUUUAAUUUGCUUCAUCUUCCCAACUGCUAUUAUAAUCCCUUUCCUUCAAGGAGUAGGCUUAUGUCUGGAAUAUUAUCUGUGUGUUGUGUAUGAUGAUAAAGUUGUGACAGAGCAGUUCUGAGCUGUGCUCGGCCUAUGAACUAGUAAACAUCAACAAUAAUAAAAAUGACAAUAGCCAUUUAGCUAUGGACCUAUUGUGUGCCAGAUACUACUUAAGUGACUGACAUACAGUAUCUCAUUUAAUCUUCAUCAACUCUAUUCUCACUCCCAUUAUGUAGAUAACAAAGGAGAAAUGAGACCCAGAGAGCCCAGAUCAUAUAGAUAAUGGGUAGCAGGCCCAAGAUUUCUUCAUUUAGAUGUCACUGAUUAUAAGAAGUAACAUCAACGCGCGGCCGAGCCCGCCGUCUGCCGCCGCUGCCGCCGCCGCCAGGUAGUGUUUGGACACUAGACCAUGUGCCUAGGUAGUUUUUCCUGUCUCUGCAGCUCUACUCCCCCAGCAACGCUCACCACACCCUUGUUUUGAGAACCUCACUAGGCCCUUGGUGAGCCUCCAGCCAUGGGGGAUAUGAAAACCCCUGAUUUUGAUGAUCUUCUUGCUGCCUUCGACAUCCUAGACCCCACAAGCCUUGGUGCCAAGGAGGCCAUCCAGACUCCCAGUGAGGAGAAUGAGAGUCCCCUCAAGCCCUCAGGCAUGUGUCUGGAUGAGAGUGUGUCCUUAUUUCACUCAGGAUCUGCCGUGGAUGUGCCGGCUGUGAGUGUCAUUGUCAAGAACACCAGUCGCCAAGUCCUUUGAGGCAGAGAAAGACCAUGUCACCCCCAGCCUCCUGCACAAUGGCUUCCGGGGUCCAGAUCUGCCUCCAGAAUCUCCCAACUGUGGGAACUUUGACUCUACUUUCUUAAAUGGAGACAGUGCCAGGAGUUUCUCUGGAAAGCUGGAAUCUCCCAAGUCCAAGUGAUAGGUCUCCCACCACCUCAGCAGCUAUUAUGUAUAGUAGCUGCCCUCUUCCUAUAGUGCCUUGCCCCCUUCCCUGUGUGACGUCACACCAAGAUGGUUGCUCCC